CUGCGAGCUUUGCGCUCGCAACGUUCUUGGGUCUGUGAGAGGGUCGGUUCUUCUGUUCUUUUCCGGAGGGGCGAGAGAAAUAAGAAUUUUUGUUUAAGAAUAUAGAAUGUUUGAUGAGGAGUGUAGUUAAAGAUAUUUUCUCAGUGUUUUUGUGAAAGACACUGCGCGGAAACUGACUUGUGCAAACUAAGGUUAUUCUGAAUAUUAUUCUCAGAAUUAUAUAAUUCCAAAUGAGGGUGCCUUAUAGAAGAGCAGUGAACGUCGAACGUUUUCCAUUCUACGGUUCGGAAAUAUUUAAC